rnacentral:rRNA from 1 species
UACAGAGGUCUCAAGCGUUGUUCGGAUUCAUUGGGCGUAAAGGGUGCGUAGGCGGCGCGGAAAGUCGGGUGUGAAAUCUUGGAGCUUAACUCCGAAACUGCAUUCGAUACUGCCGUGCUUGAGGACUGGAGAGGAGACUGGAAUUUACGGUGUAGCGGUGAAAUGCGCAGAUAUCAGGAGGAACACCGGUGGCGAAGGCGGGUCUCUGGGCCGAUACUGACGCUGAGGAGCGAAAGCGUGGGGAGCGAACAGG